UCUGGUAAUGAUGGCAGAGAGGUCACACCCGUUCCCAUACCGAACACGGAAGUUAAGCUCUCUAGCGCCGAUGGUAGUUGGGACCUUGUCCCUGUGAGAGUAGGACAUUGCCAGGC
rnacentral:rRNA from 1 species